UAUUGUUUAUUUGCACUUCAACCCAUUUAAUGAUCAUCAUUUUAUGGUAAAUUAAAAUGAAUAAGCUUUCUGUAGUUCUCAUUUUGUAUUCCUCUUUAGAUUUCCCAGCAAAUGGAUAUGCAACACCAGCCAAUGGAGGACCCAAUGGAGUGUAAGACGUCAUCUAGCAGAAAAAUCUAUUGAAGCAGGAAAUGUAGUGACUGAAGAUGUUGAUGGUCAUUUUGUCUUUUUUUUUCUUUGCUUUCCUGAAUUCCUUCAUUUCCUUCAUUCUAUAUGUUACGUAAACAGAUAGAUUGUAAUGACUCUGGUCAUGCUGCCUUAAGACUGUGUAAUAUGUAAUUAUGCAUAUGUUCAUGUGUGAUGAGAAAGGACAUGGAAUAUGGGGGAUUUUUAACUUUUACCAUUCUUAAGCUCAAGGAAAAUCUAAAAUAUCUGGAAUAACAGCUUUUGCCCCCUUUGUCCAAACAAAGGAAAUCAGGAUAGUUGUAGUCAUUGACUGUUACCGUCAAAAGCAUUUAUUUAAAUUAGGUCAAACAUUUCAGCUAAUACCCAUGUCCUGUUCUUACAUUAAUGCAUUUGGCAAAUUCUUUUAUCCAAAGUGACAUGCAUAAAUUUUCAAUACAUUUCAUCAGUUGAUACAUUUCGUGAAACUCAAACUCAUGACCCACUGAUAACUUUAUUUGUUUAUCUGAGGUCAGAGUAUGAAUUUGUCAAAAGUGUUGCGCUUCAGCUUUGAAUAAGAGUUACAGAGUUAAGAGUUACUUUGAAUAAGAGUGUUACAGAGUUAUUUUGAUGUUACUGUGAUUGCAAAACAAUUUUUUUUGAAGGAUUUAGCAUUGUUGACUGCAGAUGAGCUUGAUGUUUUACUUUAGUAUUAAUAGCAUCAUUUCACUAUGCAAAAAUGAAAAGAAUGCUGGGCACACACUGAAAGAGUUUUAAAAUCUUAUAAGAUCUUCAAAAUUCUACAAAAAACGUUCAGAAACCGUUUUGUUCCUAUAGUGUAUAGCGUGUCACGAUGUAACACAGACAGCACACAACACACCAACAGCUUUUCAACCAGAGUCCCUACUGUGAACACGGGAAAUAUCGCAAAAUCUCUCGAGACCUGAGAAUAAACAAGAUUAUUAUUUUAUUUUUUAGCAAUUUUAGAACAAAGAACAUACCUGGGCAAUAACAAAAAUUACAUCAAAUACAGUAAUAAACAAAAAAACAAUAAAUAAAAUAAAAUAAGAAAAACAAUAAGAAAAUUGCAUGUCCUUAAACAAGUAUAAAUAAUUACAAAUUAUUCAAAGAGUAGAUUUAAGGCUUUAAAGUAAUGGCAGGAAGUAAUUGUGAUGAUAGUGUGCAAAUUGUGCUGUGCCAU